AGGGCGUAUGGGGAAUGCCUAGGCUCUUGGAGGCGAAGAAAGACGUGGUAAGCUGCGAAAAGCUCCGGGGAUUUGCAAACAAGAUUUGAUCCGGAGAUUUCUGAAUGGGACAACCCGUCAGGUAGAAGACCUGACACAUCGCAAGAUGGGCCAACCCUCUGAACUGAAACAUCUUAGUAGGAGGAGGAAAAGAAAGAAACAUCGAUUUCCUGAGUAGCGGCGAGCGAAAGGGAAAAAGCCUAAACCGGUAUUGUUACGGCAAUGCCGGGGUUGUAGGACUGCAACAUUCAAGUAACAAUGAACUGGAACGAUCUGGAAAGUUCGUCCAUAGAGGGUGAAAGGCCCGUACAGGUAAGUUCGUUAUGCGAUAGCAGUAUCCUGAGUAGGGCGGGACACGAGGAAUCCUGUCUGAAUCCGCCGGGACCACCCGGUAAGGCUAAAUACUCCCAAGAGACCGAUAGUGAACCAGUACCGUGAGGGAAAGGUGAAAAGAACCCCGAACAGGGGAGUGAAAUAGAACCUGAAACCAUACGCUUACAACCGGUCGGAGCAGCUUCGUGCUGUGACGGCGUGCCUAUUGAAUAAUGAGCCUACGAGUUACUAAUCACUGGCGAGGUUAAGUGCACGGAUGCACGGAGCCGAAGCGAAAGCGAGUCUUAAUAGGGCGUUUAGUCAGUGGUUGUAGACGCGAAACCUUGCGAUCUACCCUUGAGCAGGUUGAAGGUUGGGUAAAACCAACUGGAGGACCGAACGAAUAAGCGUUGAAAAGCUUCUCGAUGACUUGAGGGUAGGGGUGAAAGGCUAAUCAAGCUGGGAAAUAGCUCGUACUCCCCGAAAUGCUUUUAGGAGCAGCGUUUUAAUAGUCUACUGGAGGUAGAGCUACUGAUUGGAUGCGGGGGCUUCACCGCCUACCAAAUCCUGACAAACUCCGAAUGCCAGUAGUAUGAUUUACAGCAGUGAGCGACCGGGUGCUAAUGUCCGGUUACGAGAGUGGAACAACACAGACCAGCAACUAAGGUCCCGAAGAGUAUACUAAGUUGAUCUAACGAUGUUUUGCUGCAGAGACAGCUAGGAUGUUAGCUUGGAAGCAGCUAUUCAUUCAAAGAGUGCGUAACAGCUCACUAGUCGAGCGGCAAAGCGUGGAUAAUAAACGGGCAUCAAGUAUACCACCGAAGUUCUGGGCACGAAAGUGCGGUAGGGGAGCAUUCCAUUGACGUCGAAGCCAUUCCGCGAGGAUAGGUGGAGUUUAUGGAAAAGCAAAUGUAGGCAUGAGUAACGAUAAUGCGGGAGAGUAACCCGCACACCGCAAGACCAAGGUUUCCUGAUCAACGCUAAUCGGAUCAGGGUUAGUCGGGUCCUAAGGGUAAGCCGAACGGUGAUCUCGAUGGACAAUCGGUUAAUAUUCCGAUACUAACAUAUACCUCGAUGGAGAGACGAAGGAACGUAAGUGACGCCGCCUGACGGAAUAGGUGGUUAAAGGGCGUAGGUAUAGGGACAGAUUAAGAGUUAGUCCUUGCUGAAAUCCGACAGUACGGAGCGGCUACGGCCAAUCUGAUAGUUCACCCAAGUCGACUUCCGAGAAAAUCUUCUAAGUUAUAGUAUAUGUUACCCGUACCGUAAACCGACACAGGUGGUCGAGGAGAGUAUCCUAAGGUGCUCGAGUGAAUCACGGUUAAGGAACUAGGCAAAUUAACCCCGUAACUUCGGGAAAAGGGGUCCCUACGCGAGUAGGGCGCAGCGAAGAGGUCCAGGCGACUGUUUAUCAAAAACACAGGGCUCUGCAAAUUCGAAAGAAGACGUAUAGGGCCUGACACCUGCCCGGUGCUGGAAGGUUAAGAGGGGAUGUCAUCGCAAGAGAAGCAUUGAAUCGAAGCCCCAGUAAACGGCGGCCGUAACUAUAACGGUCCUAAGGUAGCGAAAUUCCUUGUCGGGUAAGUUCCGACCUGCACGAAUGGUGUAACGAUCUGGACACUGUCUCAACCGUGAGCUCGGUGAAAUUGUAGUCCCGGUGAUGAUGCCGGGUACCCGCAACGGGACGAAAAGACCCCGUGAACCUUUACUAUAGCUUAACGCUGAAUUUGGGUACACAAUGUGUAGGAUAGGCCGGAGACAUUGAAGCGGGUACGCCAGUAUUCGUGGAGUCAACGUUGAAAUACGGCCCUUUGUGUACUUGGAUUCUAACCCUUGAUAGGGGACACCGUUUGGUGGGUAGUUUGACUGGGGUGGUCGCCUCCAAAAGCGUA
rnacentral:rRNA from 1 species